rnacentral:rRNA from 1 species
AGUGAACGCUGGCGGUAGGCCUAACACAUGCAAGUCGAACGGCAGCACAGUAAGAGCUUGCUCUUACGGGUGGCGAGUGGCGGACGGGUGAGGAAUACAUCGGAAUCUACUUUUUCGUGGGGGAUAACGUAGGGAAACUUACGCUAAUACCGCAUACGACCUACGGGUGAAAGCAGGGGAUCUUCGGACCUUGCGCGAUUGAAUGAGCCGAUGUCGGAUUAGCUAGUUGGCGGGGUAAAGGCCACCAAGGCGACGAUCCGUGGCUGGUCUGAGAGGAUGAUCAGCCACACUGGAACUGAGACACGGUCCAGACUCCUACGGGAGGCAGCAGUGGGGAAUAUUGGACAAUGGGCGCAAGCCUGAUCCAGCCAUACCGCGUGGGUGAAGAAGGCCUUCGGGUUGUAAAGCCCUUUUGUUGGGAAAGAAAAGCAGCAGGUUAAUACCCCGCUGUUCUGACGGUACCCAAAGAAUAAGCACCGGCUAACUUCGUG